CACGUGUUUUGAAAAUUUGAAAUACUCAUGGCAACUGGUGAGUGAAUCAUUCAAAAAUGCAAACGUGCCCGCUGUUGAGUGCAGCCAUGUGAAUCCACACAGUCACUUUUCCCGUAAAUCACUCGCCGUAAAACGUGCAAGUGGCUGUCGUGUGAAUCGCCUAUCACCGACUGUCCACAGUUGUCGAAGUAUUUUCCAGCACUCACUGUACUUUAUUAGAGAGGUUCCGCAUAACGUAAUUACGUUAGUUAAAAAAUGUAGUCGAUCUAUGGAAAGUCUUACGUAAACUGCAUGCGCAUCUGGGUUCCGCCAUACGGAGUUUUCAAAUCAUGGCAGACUCAGCGGAGGACGUUCAGGUUGGUUGGAACUCUUGAGUUUCAUGUCGUUAGGCAAUCAUCAAACAACUGAUACUCGGGUCUACCCAACAGUGAGUCAGUAUGCUUAUAAAUGCAUAGGGCCACAAGCAUAAACAAAUUUAGCGCUAAAUCUGGUGUAAGGUAUGGGGAGAACAGCUGGCGCGGGCCACGGCGCGACAUUAGAAGUGCCAGGAGGGUGGCGGGCAACAGGCAGGUGUGAGCAUGAAAGCGCGGAAAGAGGCGAUGGGGAGGCAGUGUACAGCAGAUGGGUGGAGGUGCCAGGAGGAUGGCGGGCAAUGGGCCAGUGAGAUCGCUAGGGGGUCUUUGGAUGAUGGGCAGGCGUGGGCGUACUAUUGACAUCAUGGAUGUGUCCUCACAACAAGGCUCCACCAUGAGCAUGGCAAACUUUACAAAGUAAGCCUUUCAGUGCAAGUCUUGGUGGCAUGGUGUCUUUUGGGUGUUUUCUUAGGUUCCAAGACACGUGGAGCUACAUUGUGUGUGUGUUUGUGUGUGUGUGUGUGUGUACGCGUGCGUGUGUGCGUGUGUGUGUGUGUUUGGCACACGCCAUGUACUCUCUUGUGCCGGACUGAGGUACUACACGAAUGCGAAACGUGACAAACUCUACAACGUCAUUAGCCUGGAGUUCACCAAGACUAAGUUGGAGCCUCAAGUGGAGUCACCCAGUCUGGUACGUCAUUUGGAUUGGGUGGACUUGGUGUGGCCGGAAACAUUGCGCGCUUUGCAGCAGGAGGCCACCAACCGACUGGUCGACAUGAAAUAUCCCAAAGUGCAAAAGUACUGCCUGAUGAGCGUCGGAGGCUGCUACACAGAUUUCCGUAUCGACUUUGGUGGCACAUCCGUCUGGUAUCACAUUCUCAAGGGUGGAAAGGUCAGCAUUCGCUGUCUUUUUGUCUGCACGCCUGUCUGUUUUUGUGUCACACACAUGCACACAGUAUAUAGAUGGACGAUGGGUGUAGAUACAGACAUACAUCUGUCUGUAUGUCUGUCUGUCUGUCUGUCUGUCUGUCUGUCUGUCUGUCUGUUUAUCUUUUUGUCUGUCUGUCUGUCUGUAUGUCUGUCUGUCUGUCUGUCUGUCUGUCUGUUUAUCUGUCUGUCUGUCUGUUUAUCUGUCUGUCUGUCUGUCUGUUUAUCUGUCUGUCUGUCUGUUUCUCUACCCAUCAUCCAUCCGCACUUGUAUGUAUAUGUCGUCAGUUUAAUCCGACGAACUGUUGCUCUCCUCGCCACUCCACACAACAACAAAAGACUCGUGCACACUGGGAGAGAGCGUUUUCUCUAACUUGCUUUCAGUAAGGUGACUGGAGAACUCAUGGUUAUCAGACAACUAACACUGACAACGAACGACGGACGACUGACACUGAGACAAGACUAGACAACAGAAUAUAUUAGAUUGAAGGCGUACAACGGGGACAAGACGAGCAAGUGUGUACCAACGGGGACAGAAGACGGUGCAGCCGCAUGUACGCAGGAGUCAAAAACAGCGCAGCAGCAUGUACCACGACUCAGCAGCAUGUACAACAAAGAGACACAAGCGCAGCCACAUGUACGACAAAGAGCUACACGUGCAACCGCAUGUACAACGAAGAGACACAAGCGCAGCCACAUGUACAACACUAUCCCCCAUCAAAAAAAAACAUCCACUCCUGUGGAUGGAAGCAAUCAAAACAAAAUAAGAAGAAAGACAGAAGAAAAAGAAAUCAAAUGUGAACAACAUGCACAGGAGAAUAGAAACAAAACAUGCAGGGCCAAAACAGUAACUUGUAUUCGAUUUCGAAUUUUUUCAAAUUGUUUUGCGUUGGGUGACUCUGGUCCCGGCAGGGAGUCCGCGGAACCUUGUUCUCUUGUGCUCGAGUGUGUAGAAUAGUCUUGCUGCUCGUUGUACGUUCGCCCCGUUAUGUUAGUUGUUCCUGGGUCGCUCUGACUACCCUGUACUGUACUGUGGUGUGUAUGAAAAUUUCAAACUUCUGUUCGUGUGCUACGCGUUCGAAUCUGGAACUUGUUUUUGCUUGCUCGUCGUGCAUUCAGCAUGGGUAGCUUUGAUCUCAUCUUGUGUUGUGCACUUGUGCUUGUCACGGAGUUGCCGUCGGACUGCUCCGAUAUUGUGACUGUGUCGCGUGAUUUGUUUGGAUGUCCACCUGAACGUUCUCGAGGUGCUGCCUCGUUUGUAGUCGAUCCAUAUUGUUUUGUUUCGUGUUUCUACCGUUUCACUAGUACUAGUAGUAGUAGUAGUUUCUCCAUGUU